AUUGAACGCUGGCGGCAGGCCUAACACAUGCGAGUCGAGCGGAUGAAGGGAGCUUGCUCCUGGAUUCAGCGGCGGACGGGUGAGUAAUGCCUAGGAAUCUGCCUGGUAGUGGGGGAUAACGUCCGGAAACGGGCGCUAAUACCGCAUACGUCCUGAGGGAGAAAGUGGGGGAUCUUCGGACCUCACGCUAUCAGAUGAGCCUAGGUCGGAUUAGCUAGUUGGUGGGGUAAAGGCCUACCAAGGCGACGAUCCGUAACUGGUCUGAGAGGAUGAUCAGUCACACUGGAACUGAGACACGGUCCAGACUCCUACGGGAGGCAGCAGUGGGGAAUAUUGGACAAUGGGCGAAAGCCUGAUCCAGCCAUGCCGCGUGUGUGAAGAAGGUCUUCGGAUUGUAAAGCACUUUAAGUUGGGAGGAAGGGCAGUAAGUUAAAACCUUGCUGUUUUGACGUUACCAACAGAAUAAGCACCGGCUAACUUCGUG
rnacentral:rRNA from 1 species